rnacentral:rRNA from 1 species
ACCCUAUUAUUUUAAUUGUAAAAAAGUUACUUGAGUAUUAGUAGUUAUGGUCUUGAAACUUAAAAAAUUUGGCGGUAUUUUAGUCUAUUCAGAGGAACCUGUUAUGUAAUCGAUAAUCCACGAUGGACCUAACUUAAUUUUGUUUUUCAAUUUAUAUAUCGCUGUUAUAGAAUAUUUUAUAAGAAUAAUAAUUUUCAAUUAAUUUUAUAGAAAUUAUAUAUCAAGUCAAGGUGUAGUUUAUGAUUAAGUAUUUUAUGGGUUACAAUAAAUUUAUUUAAGCGAAUUUAGAAUUGAAAUAAUUUAAUGAAGAUGGAUUUGAUAGUAAAUUUUUAAAGAUAAAAAAGUUGAUUUUGGCUCUAAAAUAUGUACACUCC